UACGGAGGGUGCAAGCGUUAUCCGGAUUCACUGGGUUUAAAGGGUGUGUAGGCGGGUAUUUAAGUCAGUGGUGAAAUCUCUGGGCUCAACUCAGAACUGCCAUUGAUACUAUUUAUCUUGAAUAUCGUUGAGGUUGGCGGAAUAUGACAUGUAGUGGUGAAAUACAUAGAGAUGUCAUAGAACACCGAUUGCGAAGGCAGCUGACGAAACUAUAACUGACACUGAGGCUCGAAAGUGACGGGGAUCAAACAGG
rnacentral:rRNA from 1 species